UUGGAGGGCAAGUCUGGUGCCAGCAGCCGCGGUAAUUCCAGCUCCAAUAGCGUAUAUUAAAGUUGUUGCAGUUAAAAAGCUCGUAGUUGAAUUUCGGGGUCAGUAGGUUGGUCAUGCCACUGGUAUGUACUGGUCUCACUGAUUCCCCCUUCCUGAUGAGCCGUAAUGCCAUUAAUUCGGUGUUGCGAGGAAUCUGGACUGUUACUUUGAAAAAAUUAGAGUGUUUAAAGCAAGCUAACGCUUGAAUACAUUAGCAUGGAAUAAUGAAAUAGGACGUUCGAUCCUAUUUUGUUGGUUUCUAGGAUUGACGUAAUGAUUAAUAGGGAUAGUUGGGGGCAUUAGUAUUCAAUUGUCAGAGGUGAAAUUCUUGGAUUUAUUGAAGACUAACUACUGCGAAAGCAUUUGCCAAGGAUGUUUUCAUUAAUCAAGAACGAAAGUUAGGGGAUCGAAGACGAUCAGAUACCGUCGUAGUCUUAACCAUAAACUAUGCCGACUAGGGAUCGGAUGAUGUUAAUUUUUUAAUGACUCAUUCGGCGCCUUACGGGAAACCAAAGUGUUUGGGUUC
rnacentral:rRNA from 1 species